UACGUAGGGGGCAAGCGUUGUCCGGAUUUAUUGGGCGUAAAGAGCGUGUAGGCGGCCGUACAGGUCAGCUGUGAAAACUCAAGGCUCAACCUCGAGACGUCGGUUGAAACCGUACGGCUAGAGUCCGGAAGAGGAGAGUGGAAUUCCCGGUGUAGCGGUGAAAUGCGCAGAUAUCGGGAAGAACACCCGUGGCGAAGGCGGCUCUCUGGGACGGUACUGACGCUGAGACGCGAAAGCGUGGGGAGCGAACAGG
rnacentral:rRNA from 1 species